GACGAACGCUGGCGGCGUGCUUAACACAUGCAAGUCGAGCGGUAAGGCCCUCGGGUACGACGAGCGGCGAACGGGUGAGUAACACGUGGGUGGACCUGCCUCUAGCUCUGGGAUAAGCCUGGGAAACUGGGUCGUAAUACCGGAUAUGACUCCACGGCGCAUGUUGUGGGGUGGAAAGCCUUGUGUGGCUAGAGAUGGGCCCGCGGCCUAUCAGCUUGUUGGUGGGGUGAUGGCCUACCAAGGCGACGACGGGUAGCCGGCCUGAGAGGGCGACCGGCCACACUGGGACUGAGACACGGCCCAGACUCCUACGGGAGGGCAGCAGUGGGGAAUCUUGCGCAAUGGGCGAAAGCCUGACGCAGCGACGCCGCGUGAGGGAUGACGGCC
rnacentral:rRNA from 1 species